rnacentral:lncRNA from 13 species
GGACUGUGGUAAAUCAGGGAAAGUAUGAUUAAAUGGAUCUGUAGCACAACAUCCUCUUUUCUCGAGCAAGCCAACCUCCCAAAAUGUAAAUACAUUAAAUGUCACUCUCAUUAAGUACACAUCAUGGAACUGCUAAGGAGGAUUAAGGAAGAGCAAUAAUCUUCAUCUUACUCUGAGUAACUCCUAAUGGUCAAUGUGACCUGGACUCAAAUUUUUAUUGAAGAAGGUUAUUGUGACCUUUUCCCCUGUUUUGGUAAGACUGAAGAAGUCCAUCAUGAGUCUGCUGAAAUUUAUGCACUCUACAGGCUUUUUCCUGCAGAAUGUUUUUUCAAAUGAAAGGGCAGAAGGAAGAGAACUGGUUCAGAUCCUGAUUUUUAACAUGCAAGACGGAAAGAGGUUGGGAUUUUAUAUGGGACUGAAGACAUUUCUUUUGGAUCUUUGGAAGAAAAAAAUGCUCUCCAUCUUCAUAGCAAAAAGGAUCAAUGCUGAAAUACAUAAGAAGAGAGGCUGUCCUGGAAAAGUGAGAAAGAGUGUGCAGAAAGAAACUAUGCCCAGAUGAAUCCACUGUGCCCUGUUUGGCAUAAAACAUAGGAGAAGCACAAAGGAGAUAUCAAUAUUUUGCUUCUGCUUUUUUUAAAGGAAAUAAAAUCCUAAUGAAAUAGAAC